rnacentral:rRNA from 1 species
UACAGAGGUCUCAAGCGUUGUUCGGAUUCAUUGGGCGUAAAGGGUGCGUAGGCGGCGCGGUAAGUCGGGUGUGAAAUCGUUGGAGCUUAACUCCGGAAACUGCAUUCGAUACUGCCGUGCUUGAGGACUGGAGAGGAGACUGGAAUUUACGGUGUAGCGGUCGAAAUGCGUAGAUAUCGUAAGGAAGACCAGUGGCGAAGGCGG